CCUACGGGAGGCAGCAGUAAGGAAUAUUGGUCAAUGGGCGCAAGCCUGAACCAGCCAUGCCGCGUACAGGAAGACGGCCCUAUGGGUUGUAAACUGCUUUUGAACAAGAGAAAACCUCGGUACGUGUACCGAGCUGAUAGUAUUGUUAGAAUAAGCAUCGGCUAACUUCGUGCCAGCAGCCGCGGUAAGACGAAGGAUGCAAGCGUUAUCCGGAUUCAUUGGGUUUAAAGGGUGCGUAGGCGGCCUGAUAAGUCAGUGGUGAAAUCUCUCAGCUUAACUGAGAAACUGCCAUUGAUACUGUCGGGCUUGAGUACAGAUGAUGUGGGCGGAAUAUGACAUGUAGUGGUGAAAUACUUAGAUAUGUCAUAGAACACCGAUUGCGAAGGCAGCUCACAAAACUGUAACUGACGCUGAGGCACGAAAGUGCGGGGAUCAAACAGGAUUAGAUACCCUGGUAGUCCGCACCGUAAACGAUGAUUACUCGUUGUUGGCAAUAUGACCGUCAGCGACCAAGCGAAAGCGAUAAGUAAUCCACCUGGGGAGUACGCCGGCAACGGUGAAACUUAAAGGAAUUGACCGGNNGAGAGNGCGAGGAGACACGAGGGAGGAG
rnacentral:rRNA from 1 species